AAAGAGUGUAGUUUUACACUAUUUAUCUCUAACGUUUGACCGUCCGUCUUAUUUAAAUUUUUUUUAUUAUUAGUAUUUUUGUUGUUAUUUUUUUUAGACCGGUCUAUUUUUGUUGUUAUUAGAUGAUAAAAUAUAAAUAGUAUUUUAUGUGUGACUAUUUUUUAAAAUUUUUAAAAAUUUUUUAAAUAAAAUGGACGGUCAAACAUUGAACACGAAAACCCACAACUGCACUUAAA
rnacentral:pre_miRNA from 1 species